rnacentral:rRNA from 1 species
UACGGGGGGUGCGAGCGUUGUCCGGAAUCACUGGGCGUAAAGGGCGCGUAGGUGGUCUGAUAAGGGUGUGGUGAAAGCCCGGGGCUCAACCCCGGGAGGCGGGUGGAUACUGCUGAGCUCGAGUCCGGAAGAGGAGUGUGGAAUUCCUGGUGUAGCGGUGAAAUGCGCAGAUAUCAGGAGGAACACCAAUGGCGAAGGCAGCACUCUGGGACGGUACUGACGCUGAGACGCGAAAGCGUGGGGAGCAAACAGG